CAGCAGUGAGGAAUUUUGGUCAAUGGGCGCAAGCCUGACUUAGCGACGCCGCGUCAGGAUGACGGCCCUUCGGGUUGUAAACUGCUUUUGUACGCCAAGAAACCCGCAGUGGGGGAAUGCUUGAGUAGUCCGUACCGUAGAAUAGAAUCCCCGGCUAACUACGUG
rnacentral:rRNA from 1 species